rnacentral:lncRNA from 1 species
UCCUUCGGUUUAGAAGCCAUAUCUUUCAGGUCAUCCAGAGGUGCCCAAGCCACACCAACAGAGAAGAUAGUGAUUCCUACAAUGAAAACAUUUUAAAGUGAAUUGAAAAUCAGGUCUAGCUAAUAUAUGGAAUUAUGUCUAUAUGUUUUCCAUACACUGUUACAUAGUUGCAGCGAAAACUGCUUACUAAUUUCUGGACAAUUAAAUCCCCUGAACAAAUUAAGUUUUCACAGUCAUUGUGACGAGAGUGGCAAAAGAGUGGUCCAAACCAGAAACUCUGCUAUAUCUGUAAUUCGCCACAUUAACAGUAAAUGCGGAUGGUGAAAAUUUUCCGUAUGAGGUUGGCCUGCAUCAAACAGUAUACUGGAGUCAGAGUCACAAUCCAUUAAAGCAAGGAAGAAUGGCACAAGAGAUGGGAUAAGUAAAUAGCAAAAGUGUUCAAAGAACAAGGACCUUACCUGCAUCAUGUGCAGCAGCUGCAGGGCCUUGGACAUCAUCAUAGGACUGCCCAUCUGUGACAAUUACUAGGAAGUUCUUGUUGG